rnacentral:misc_RNA from 1 species
UUAAGUUCAGCGGGUAGUCCUACCUGAUUUGAGGUCAGAUCUUAAAGAGUUGUCCGAAGACAAUUAGAAGCCACAUCCAAGCGAGCAGCCACCAAGUGUAGAUACUUAUCACACUCUGAGCCAACUCACGGACAAGUAGCUAAUACUUUUAAGAAGAGCCGACUAGAGAGCCAGCAAGCUUCCAAAUCCAAGCUUCAAAG